UUUAACGGCCGCGGUAUCAUAACCGUGCGAAGGUAGCAUAAUAAAUUGUUCUCUAAAUAGGGACUAGUAUGAAAGGCACCACGAGGGCUUAACUGUCUCCCUUUUCCAAUUAAUGAAACUGAUCUUCUCGUGAAGAAGCGAGAAUAAAAAUAUAAGACGAGAAGACCCCAUGGAGCUUUAAACUCAUCAUCAUUUACUCUUUACCACACCACUACAUAUAAUAAAAUUGUUACCUGAGAGUUUUCGGCUGGGGUGACCCUGGAGCAAAACAAAUCCUCCAGGAUGAACGGAAUAAAAUCCUAAUCAAAGAGCUACAACUCUAAGAAUCAAAAUAUUGACAUAUUUGAUCCAAUUACUUGAUCAACGAACCAAGUUACCCUGGGGAUAACAGCGCAAUCCAUUUCAAGAGCCCCUAUCGACAAAUGGGUUUACGACCUCGAUGUUGGAUCGGGGUAUCCCAGUGGCGCAGCCGCUACUAAAGGUUCGUUUGUUCAACGAUUAAUA
rnacentral:rRNA from 1 species